rnacentral:rRNA from 1 species
AACGAACGCUGGCGGCAUGCCUAACACAUGCAAGUCGAACGAGACCUUCGGGUCUAGUGGCGCACGGGUGCGUAACGCGUGGGAACCUGCCCUUAGGUUCGGAAUCACUCCCCGAAAGGGGUGCUAAUACCGGAUAAUGUCUUCGGACCAAAGAUCUAUCGCCUUUGGAUGGGCCCGCGUUGGAUUAGCUAGUUGGUAGGGUAAAAGCCUACCAAGGCGACGAUCCAUAGCUGGUCGGAGAGGAUGAUCAGCCACACUGGGGCUGAGACACGGCCCAGACUCCGACGGGAGGCAGCAGUGGGGAAUAUUGGACGAGGGGCGAAAGCCUGAUCCAGCAAUGCCGCGUGAGUGAUGAAGGCCUUAGGGUUGUAAAGCUCUUCUACCCGGGAUGAUAAUGACAGUACCGGGAGAAUAAGCUCCGGCUAACUCCGUG